rnacentral:rRNA from 1 species
GAUGAACGCUGGCGGCGUGCCUAAUACAUGCCAGUCGAGCGAACAGAUGAGGAGCUUGCUCCUCUGACGUUAGCGGCGGACGGGUGAGUAACACGUGGAUAACCUACCUAUAAGACUGGGAUAACUUCGGGAAACCGGAGCUAAUACCGGAUAAUAUAUUGAACCGCAUGGUUCAAUAGUGAAAGACGGUUUUGCUGUCACUUAUAGAUGGAUCCGCGCCGCAUUAGCUAGUUGGUAAGGUAACGGCUUACCAAGGCAACGAUGCGUAGCCGACCUGAGAGGGUGAUCGGCCACACUGGAACUGAGACACGGUCCAGACUCCUACGGGAGGCAGCAGUAGGGAAUCUUCCGCAAUGGGCGAAAGCCUGACGGAGCAACGCCGCGUGAGUGAUGAAGGUCUUCGGAUCGUAAAACUCUGUUAUUAGGGAAGAACAAAUGUGUAAGUAACUAUGCACGUCUUGACGGUACCCAAUCAGAAAGCCACGGCUAACUACGUG